GUGGGACGCGACGGCGGGGGUACAAAGCCGGAAGCGGCUCACGCGCGAGAGAGCGGCGGCUGCUCCAGCAUCCAGAGCAAGGGAGAGGCUAGAGCGGCGCGUGUCCCCCGCCGGGGCUCCGACAGCGCCCGGCCCGGGCUCGGCGCGACAGGCGGCCCGUCCUCCCCGGGCCCACGGAACGGGUAAGAGGGAGCCCAGACCCACUUCCUGAGCUCUGAGACUGUUCAAUCAAGUCUUUCAGGGAUUCCCCUGGAGGAAUUUCAUAAGCCGGGGGGGGAAAAAGUGACGUUGGGAAGAAAUGUGAAGCAGACAAAGUUUAAAUUCUUCCGACUUACCUGAAGUAACAGAAUAUGAUGAUAAGUACCAGGAGUAUACUGCAAACGGUCACUGAGAUCAGCAAGGCCUUAUGGUGAAUGUUUCCUUCAACAAAAUCUGGUUUAAAGAUUA